rnacentral:lncRNA from 1 species
AGAUCACGAAAUCAGUGUGUUUUUGUUCUAGAUGUGUACUGUUGCAUGCACAUGUCACGUGUCAUGUGUUGACCGUAGUUAUAUUUUUCCUUCUUAUCCCCAGUGUAUGUGCAUGUUGCAUGCAUGUCCUUAGUGUGAAAUUAACAUGUAUGGUGAUUUAUCUCAUGUGACAUGCUUUUUAGAAGUUCUUUUUCUAUACAGUUCUUGGGUAACAGUUCUUUCCUGUGUUCUUUAUGUCCAUUUGCAGUCUCUGGUGUUCUCUGGAAGGAUAUCUCAGAUCCGGCUGUCUUCCUCUGUGCAGAAACCCAUUUUGACUGUUGUCUCAACCUUGAUCGUGGAUUUUCUUUUACAGGAGCGUGCAUGUGUGUAAGAGUAGUUGCUGUUGUGUGAGCUUAACUGCUGCUACGCAUAGUCUCUGCUAUGGACUGUAGAAGACCUCUGGUGGCUCUUCUAACCUUUCAAAAUGAAUAAGAUUGUGUCAUGGCCCAUCUGCUUCUGAAGCUCAUUUCCUGAGAUCAAGAAAGAAAGAAUACACAGAGGGAAAAGAAAUAGUGGUGCUAUGAUCUCAUCAGCCAGCAGGUGACUUAAUUGUGAAAACAAGGGGAAAGAAAUUUGGUCACCUGAAGUUCCCAAGUCCUGAGUGGAAUGCUACUGUCCAGAUAAAUCAAAUCAUCCUUAAAUAAUACUAUGGAACCCUACAUGAGUGGGCUGGGCAUGAUCCCUAAGGAAAAAAACUUGGUCCAUUCUAAAAGGAACUGGCUUGUAAUGGACUUCUCCAUUAGUGACAAUGCAGUGAUCCUGAACAACUCGAAGGGAUCUAUGAGAAAGAACACCAUCCACAUCCAAAGGAAAAACUGUGGAAGCAAAAACACUGAAGAAAACAACUGCUUGAUUACAUGGGUCAAUGGGGAUAUAACUGGGGAUGUAGACUCUAAAUGAUCACCCUAGUGCAAACAUCAACAACAUGGAAAUAGGUUCUGAUCAAGGACACAUGUAAUACCCAGUAAAAUUGCGCAUGGGCUACGGAAAGGAGUGGGGGGAGGGGAGGGAGGAAUAGAAUAUGAUUUUUGUAACCAAGGAAUAAUGUUCCAAAUUGACAAAAUAAUAUUUUCAAAAAAAUAAAAUAAAAUAAAAGGAACUGGCUGCCCA